GUUGGCGCGGCUCAGUGGUAGAGCGCACGUUUUGUAUGUUUGAUAUACUGGGUUCAAUCCCCAGCUUCUGCC
rnacentral:tRNA from 1 species